ensembl:lncRNA
GAGGGGGGGGAGACACAGAGAGACACAGAGAGAGAGGGGGAGACAGAGAGACAGAGAGAGAGGGGGAGACACAGGGAGACACAGAGAGAGAGGGGGAGACAGAGAGACACAGAGAGAGAGGGGGAGACACAGGGAGACACAGAGAGAGAGGGGGGAGACAGAGAGACACAGAGAGAGAGGGGGAGACACAGGGAGACACAGAGAGAGAGAGGGGGAGACAGAGAGACACAGAGAGAGAGGGGGAGACACAGGGAGACACAGAGAGAGAGGGGGAGACAGAGAGACACAGAGAGACACAGAGAGAGAGGGGGAGACACAGGGAGACACACAGAGAGAGAGGGGGAGACAGAGAGAGACACAGAGAGAGAGGGGGGAGACACAGAGAGACACAGAGAGAGAGGGGGGAGACACAGAGAGACACACAGAGAGAGAGGGGGGAGACACAGAGAGACACAGAGAGAGAGGGGGGAGACACAGAGAGACACACAGAGAGAGAGGGGGGAGACACAGAGAGACACAGAGAGAGAGAGGGGGGAGACACAGAGAGACACAGAGAGAGAGGGGGGGAGACAGAGAGACACAGAGAGAGGGGGGGGAGACACAGAGAGACACAGAGAGAGAGGGGGGAGACAGAGAGACGCAGAGAGAGAGGGGGGAGACAGAGAGACACAGAGAGAGAGGGGGAGACACAGAGAGACACAGAGAGAGAGGGGGGAGACACAGAGAGAGAGAGGGGAGACACAGAGAGACACAGAGAGAGAGGGGGAGACAGAGAGAGACACAGAGAGAGAGGGGGAGACACAGGGAGACACAGAGAGAGAGGGGGAGACAGAGAGACACAGAGAGGGGGAGACACAGGGAGACACAGAGAGAGAGGGGGAGACAGAGAGACACAGAGAGACACAUAGAGAGAGGGGGGAGACACAGGGAGACACACAGAGAGAGAGAGGGGGAGACAGAGAGAGACACAGAGAGAGAGGGGAGACACAGAGAGACACAGAGAAAGAGGGGGGAGACAGAGAGACGCAGAGAGAGAGGGGGGAGACACAGAGAGACACAGAGAGAGAGGGGGAGACACAGAGAGAGAGAGGGGAGACACAGAGAGACACAGAGAGAGAGGGGGAGACAGAGAGAGACACAGAGAGAGAGGGGGAGACACAGAGAGACACACAGAGAGAGAGGGGGGGAGACACAGAGAGACACAGAGAGAGAGGGGGGAGACACAGAGAGACACGGAGAGAGAGGGGGGAGACAGAGAGACACAGAGAGAGAGGGGGAGACAGAGAGAGACACAGAGAGAGAGGGGGAGACACAGAGAGACACACAGAGAGAGAGGGGGGAGACACAGAGAGACACAGAGAGAGAGGGGGAGACACAGAGAGACACAGAGAGAGAGGGGGGAGACAGAGAGACACAGAGAGAGAGGGGGAGACACAGAGAGACACAGAGAGAGAGGGGGGAGACAGAGAGACGCAGAGAGAGAGGGGGCAGACACAGAGAGACACAGAGAGAGAGGGGGGAGACACAGAGAGAGAGAGGGGAGACACAGAGAGACACAGAGAGAGAGGGGGAGACAGAGAGAGACACAGAGAGAGAGGGGGAGACACAGGGAGACACAGAGAGAGAGGGGGAGACAGAGAGACACAGAGAGAGAGGGGGAGACACAGGGAGACACAGAGAGAGAGGGGGAGACAGAGAGACACAGAGAGACACAGAGAGAGGGGGGAGACACAGGGAGACACACAGAGAGAGAGAGGGGGAGACAGAGAGAGACACAGAGAGAGAGGGGAGACACAGAGAGACACAGAGAAAGAGGGGGGAGACAGAGAGACGCAGAGAGAGAGGGGGGAGACACAGAGAGACACAGAGAGAGAGGGGGAGACACAGGGAGACACAGAGAGAGAGGGGAGGACAGAGAGACACAGAGAGACGCAGAGAGAGGGGGGAGACACAGGGAGACACACAGAGAGAGAGAGGGGGAGACAGAGAGAGACACAGAGAGAGAGGGGAGACACAGAGAGACACAGAGAAAGAGGGGGGAGACAGAGAGACGCAGAGAGAGAGGGGGGAGACACAGAGAGACACAGAGAGAGAGGGGGGAGACAGAGAGACGCAGAGAGAGAGAGGGGGAGACACAGAGAGACACAGAGAGAGAGGGGGAGACACAGAGAGAGAGAGGGGAGACACAGAGAGACACAGAGAGAGAGGGGGAGACACAGGGAGACACAGAGAGAGAGAGGGGGAGACACAGGGAGACACAGAGAGAGAGAGGGGGAGACAGAGAGACACAGAGAGGGGGAGACACAGGGAGACACAGAGAGAGAGGGGGAGACAGAGAGACACAGAGAGACACAUAGAGAGAGGGGGGGAGACACAGGGAGACACACAGAGAGAGAGAGGGGAGACACAGAGAGACACAGAGAAAGAGGGGAGACACAGAGAGACACAGAGAGAGAGGGGGAGACAGUGAGACACAGAGAGAGAGGGGGGGAGACACAGAGAGACACACAGAGAGAGAGGGGGGGAGACACAGAGAGACACACAGAGAGAGAGGGGGGAGACACAGAGAGACACAGAGAGAGAGGGGGGAGACACACAGAGACACACAGAGAGAGAGGGGGGAGACACAGAGAGACACACAGAGAGAGAGGGGGGAGACACAGAGAGACACAGAGAGAGAGGGGGGAGACAGAGAGAGAGGGGGGAGACAGAGAGAGAGGGGGGGAGACACAGAUGAGAGGGGGGGAGACAGAGAGACGCAGAGAGAGAGGGGGGGAGACACAGAGAGACACAGAGAGAGAGGGGAGACACAGAGAGACACAGAGAGAGAGGGGGAGACACAGAGAGAGAGAGGGGAGACACAGAGAGACACAGAGAGAGAGGGGGAGACCAGAGAGACACAGAGAGAGGGACACACACAGAGAGACACACAGAGAGACACGAGAGAGAAGGGGGAGACAACAGAGAGACAUACAGAGAGAGAGAGAGAGAGAGAGGGGAGACCACAGAGAGACACAGAGAGAGAGGGGGGGGAGACACAGAGAGACACAGAGAGAGAGGGGGGAGACACAGAGAGAGAGGGGGGAGGACACAGAGAGACACAGAGAGAGAGGGGAGAGACAGAGCGAGAGAGAGAGAGAGAGGGUGAUGAGAGAGAAGGCAGGCAGACGGAAGAAGGCCAGCAUUGUGACUGACCAGAGUGCAUCCCUCCUCAUCAGACAGGGACAGAUUUGA